GGUCGAUUAGCUCAGUUGGUUAGAGCGUGGUAAGUUGAUAACGCCAAGGUCGAGGGUUCGACCCCCUCAUUGACCA
rnacentral:tRNA from 1 species